GUACACGCUGUGACUAGCAUAUCAAUAAGCGGAGGAAAAGAAACUAACAAGGAUUCCCUUAGUAACGGCGAGUGAAGCGGGAAGAGCUCAAAUUUGAAAUCUUCAAGGGUUUACCUUGACGAAUUGUAGUUUAAAGAAGUGUUUUCUGCUGAGGUUUUGGUAAAAGUUCUUUGGAAUAGGACAUCAUAGAGGGUGAGAAUCCCGUAUUUGACCAUUACUUUCAACUUUGUGAUACACUUUCAAAGAGUCGGAUUGUUUGGGAAUGCAGUCCAAAAUGGGUGGUAAAUUUCAUCUAAAGCUAAAUAUUGGCGAGAGACCGAUAGCGAACAAGUACCGUGAGGGAAAGAUGAAAAGAACUUUGAAAAGAGAGUUAAACAGUACGUGAAAUUGUCAAAAGGGAAGCGUUUGACACCAGUGUUGUUUUCUCGAAAAUCAAUUAAAGAACUGUUUAUGCUAAGCUGUUUAGACUUUAUCAGCUAUCUGUUUAGUUUUGAGCUUUUCUUUAAUGCACUUUUCAGUUAACAAGUCAACAUCAAUUUCUUUUGCUGUAAAAAAGCUUGAGGAAGGUGGCUUGAGAUUCGUCUUAGGUGUUUAUAGCCUCUUGCCUAUGCAGUCGGAGAGAUUGAGGUCUGCAGCGUAGAUCCUUCGGGGCUAGAUACAUUGGUGCUAAGUUAUAGCAUUGUCAUAGACAACUUGUUGACUAUGAUUAGUCAUUGUAGCUUACUCGCUGAUGUUAUUUUACCUACGCUUAGGAUGUUGAGCGCAUGUCUCUCUCU
rnacentral:rRNA from 1 species